rnacentral:rRNA from 1 species
UACGAAGGGGGCUAGCGUUGUUCGGAAUUACUGGGCGUAAAGCGCACGUAGGCGGCUUUGUAAGUCAGGGGUGAAAUCCCGGGGCUCAACCUCGGAACUGCCUUUGAUACUGCAAGUCUUGAGUCCGGAAGAGGUGAGUGGAAUUCCUAGUGUAGAGGUGAAAUUCGUAGAUAUUAGGAAGAACACCAGUGGCGAAGGCGGCUCACUGGUCCGGUACUGACGCUGAGGUGCGAAAGCGUGGGGAGCAAACAGG